rnacentral:rRNA from 1 species
UGUUUAUUCGGAUGACUCCGCCAGCACCGUAUGAGAAAUCAAAGUUUUUGGGUUCCGGGGGGAGUAUGGUCGCAAGGCUGAAACUUAAAGGAAUUGACGGAAGGGCACCACCAGGCGUGGAGCCUGCGGCUCAAUUUGACUCAACACGGGAAAACUUACCAGGUCCAGACGUAGGAAGGAUUGACAGAUUGAUAGCUCUUUCUUGAUUCUUAUGGGUGGUGGUGCAUGGCCGUUCUUAGUUGGUGGGUUGCCUUGUCAGGUUGAUUCCGGUAACGAACGAGACCUCAGCCUGCUAAAUAGUCACGGCUGCAUCCGCAGCUGGCAAACUUCUUAGAGGGACUGUUGGCGACUAGCCAACGGAAGUAUGAGGCAAUAACAGGUCUGUGAUGCCCUUAGAUGUUCUGGGCCGCACGCGCGCUACACUGAUACGUUCAACAAGUUCCUUGGCUCGAAAGGUCUGGGUAAUCUUUGAAACCGUAUCGUGAUGGGGAUAGAACAUUGCAACUAUUGUUCUUCAACGAGGAAUGCCUAGUAAUCGCGAGUCAUCAUCUCGCGUUGAUUACGUCCCUGCCCUUUGUACACACCGCCCGUCGCUCCUACCGAUUGGAUGUGCUGGUGAAGACUUCGGAUCGGCCACGCUAACUAGGUCUUCCUAGUUGUGGGGUUGAGAAGUUGUUUAAACCCUCCCAUUUAGAGGAAGGAGAAGUCGUAACAAGGUUUCCGUAGGUGAACCUGCGGAAGGAUCA